CCAACUGCCGUCUCAAGCAGAGAAAGCAAGGGAGGGAAGCUUCCAGGACCAAGCCCUGGUGGGCAGGUAGCAGCCCACCUCCAGUGAGACGGAGAAGUUGGCCGGGGCCAGCAAUGAAGGACCAGCCUGUCUCCUCCCCGAGAACUGAAAGGCAAAAGGCACCCAAGGCUGGGAAGAGAGCAGCAGCCUCACCAAAAACUGCUGCUGCACAGGCUGUUUGCCGCACAGGCUUGGUGCUGAGCUGUGAAAAGCAUGUUCUGGGAUCUUGUCACUUCGCGGAGGUGGCCUGUGCAGCAUGAGGCAAAGACCUGGCCUGUUUAGUCAGGAAGAACUGGGUUGGAGCCUGGUGUCCUCUUUAACAGCUAUGUAACCUUGGGCAAAAUACCCAUUCAAAUUUCAGUGUUCUCCUCUAUAAAACAGAAAUACGUGCGUGUAUCAGAAUUAUUAAAAUAAUUAAAUUUUCUAAUUUUUAAGUGCCCAGUU
rnacentral:lncRNA from 10 species